AGUGAACGCUGGCGGUAGGCCUAACACAUGCAAGUCGAACGGCAGCACAGUAAGAGCUUGCUCUUACGGGUGGCGAGUGGCGGACGGGUGAGGAAUACAUCGGAAUCUACUUUUUCGUGGGGGAUAACGUAGGGAAACUUACGCUAAUACCGCAUACGACCUACGGGUGAAAGCAGGGGAUCUUCGGACCUUGCGCGAAUGAAUGAGCCGAUGUCGGAUUAGCUAGUUGGCGGGGUAAAGGCCCACCAAGGCGACGGUCCGUAGCUGGUCUGAGAGGAUGAUCAGCCACACUGUAACUGAGACACGGUCCAGACUCCUACGGGAGGCAGCAGUGGGGAAUAUUGGACGAUGGGCGCAAGCCUGAUCCAGCCAUACCGCGUUGGUGAAGAAGGCCUGCGGGUUGUAAAGCCCUUUUGUUGGGAAAGAAAAGCAGCAGGUUAAUACCCCGCUGUUCUGACGGUACCCAAAGAAUAAGCACCGGCUAACUUCGUG
rnacentral:rRNA from 1 species